AGAGACAGCAGCAGCCGCGGUAAUACAGAGGGUGCAAGCGCUAAUCGGAAUUACUGGGCGUAAAGCGUGCGUAGGCGGUUUGUUAAGUCUGCUGUGAAAUCCCCGGGCUCAACCUGGGAAUGGCAGUGGAUACUGGCAAGCUAGAGUGUGUCAGAGGAUGGUGGAAUUCCCGGUGUAGCGGUGAAAUGCGUAGAGAUCGGGAGGAACAUCAGUGGCGAAGGCGGCCAUCUGAGACAACACUGACGCUGAGGCACGAAAGCGUGGGGAGCAAACAGGAUUAGAUACCCGCGUAGUCCCUGUCUCUUAUAC
rnacentral:rRNA from 1 species